GAUGAACGCUGGCGGUGUGCCUAAUACAUGCAAGUCGAGCGAACAGACGAGGAGCUUACUCCUCUGACGUUAGCGGCGGACGGGUGAGUAACACGUGGAUAACCUACUUAUAAGACUGGGAUAACUUCGGGAAACCGGAGCUAAUACCGGAUAACAUGUUGAACCGCAUGGUUCAACAGUGAAAGACGGUCUUGCUGUCACUUAUAGAUGGAUCCGCGUCGCAUUAGCUAGUUGGUAAGGUAACGGCUUACCAGGGCAACGAUGCGUAGCCGACCUGAGAGGGUGAUCGGCCACACUGGAACUGAGACACGGUCCAGACUCCUACGGGAGGCAGCAGUAGGGAAUCUUCCGCAAUGGGCGAAAGCCUGACGGAGCAACGCCGCGUGAGUGAAGAAGGUCUUCGGAUCGUAAAACUCUGUUAUUAGGGAAGAACAAAUGUGUAAGUAACUAUGCACGUCUUGACGGUACCUAAUCAGAAAGCCACGGCUAACUACGUG
rnacentral:rRNA from 1 species